UCGCUCAUCUCUCCCCGCUCCCAUCAAGGCGGCACGUCGGUAGCGUUGCAUCACCGCCUCCCCUCCCUCUCUUUCGCUGCUCAUGCGCGCGCUUGGGAAGGGUGUGCCUUGCCGUCUGCCGGUUGCCUGUUCUUCUCCGCCUCCCCACUCGCCUACCUUUUUCUUUCUCUGCCCUACAGAAGACUCGACUAGAGCGCGCGUCUCCAGCGCAUGAGCAGACCUCUGCACGGAUGGUGCGUGCGCAGGGUCUGUCUCACCAUUGACGCUUCCCCCACAACACAAGCUCGGUCUUUUGCUUGUCCGCUGCAUCCAUGACGUCGCUGACAGGCGUCACAGGCCCCGCAGCCGCCGUCGCGCCCUUCUCGGAGGAGAAUGCGAUUGUGCUCGACAAGUGGCUCUACGACGUGUGCGGGGUGGACGGCCUCCAGUUCCCGUCGCAUCGGCGUGCGCAAUUCGCGCGCUACGUGGAGCGGCUGCCACUUGUGGCAAAGACGAAGCGUUUUGUUGCCAACACCUUCAACUACCCGUCACGCUCCGGCACACGCGAGGUGCUCGUACUACAGAAGAUGCUGGAGGCACUGGCCCUGCACACACAGGCGGUGGCGCGAGAGACGGAGCAGGUACAAAACAACGUGCUGCAAGUGCGGCGCGUGUUGGAGGAGCGCACGAUGGGCGCCUCCGCCAUUGUGGAUGGAGAGAAGGCGGACGCCGUUAGCGGAGCAGCGGCCGCAGUGGAGAGGCGGAAAGGCAAAGGAGCUGCUGCGGCAUCGUCUGCCGCGCAAGCUCCAUCCUACGCGUCGUCCCCUCAGGGCCAGGGCUACGUGCCUCUCGAUUCCGCUGCCGCCGCGGGUGACAAUGGCACUGCGACCCCUGCGAGGAGCGCAGAGGCGACCCCAAAACCGCAGCAGGCGGGCGACGAGGCCGUCAGUGAGGAUGGCGACGCUUCAGCGACCCAGCAACCCUUUUCUGCCGCCGCGCGGGCGGCGCGCCGUGCAGACUACGAUAAGAAGAAGGCGCUCUCUCUCCGCUACAUAUCAGCGAUUCAAACAAAGACACAGGACAUGUCCAGGCAGCGGGUGGAGAUGGAGCAGCGACACGCACGUCUGCUAGCUGACAAAGAGCAGUUGGACAAGGAGUACGAAGCGCUGCAGACGACCGAAGAGUUGGUCGUGGCCCGCCAUCAGGAGGCCGAGUCCCGCAAGAACGAGGAGACACUGCUGCUGAGCGAGGAGGCAGCCAUGUAUGCAGCCGAGGAGGCCGCAUUCGACAUGGCGUGGGCGGAGUGUGCUGCGAUGCUCAAUGAGCAACCGGCGGCCGCGUGCAGCACAGGUGAACCAGCGGGCAGAGCAGAGGGGCCGCCUUCCACGUCGCCGAGGCCGCAUGUGCCGUCGCUCUCCCCACCGUCUUACCUCGGUUCUGCUUCCUCGCACCCGCUCCCGGCACCCUCAUCGUCGUCACGCUCUCUCAGCAGCGAAGAUCCUGUCGACGUUGCCGCUGCGGCACCUCCGAAUACGGUGCCAGCGACAGUGGCAGCAGCGAAUCAGGAGGAUAGCGCCGGCAAACACCCAGGUACUCUGUCCGGUCGGAACCCUAGUGGUGGCUCGAGCAGCACCGCGCAGCCGCCUCUGCAUCAACAGACCCUGGAGGCGCUGCGCCACCGACUCUCCGAGAUCGGCGCCCGCACCACGAACUACCGCCGCCAGCUGCUGAAUGAAGGGCACAUGCAUCUCCAACGCUUUCUCCAGUCCCAACAGCGACUCAAGGACUGGCAGGGUAUGGCGGCGCAGCUGCGACGUACUCACCACCAGCUGCGCGGACAGGUGGACGUCAUCCACACUGUUCUGUCCGACACAGCAAGACGACUGGAGAAGAGCGACGCGACGGCACAAAGAGCCGGCUACGGCGAGCAACUGACGCGGCUGAACGCACUGCUGAAGGAGCGGUCGUACGAGACGCUGCAGUACUAUGUGGGCAGUCGCGAGGAUGCCGAAAUGGACAUGCUGCUCGACGCGAGCGCCGACGAGGAGCUGCGCAAACUGCAGCGGCCCUCGCCCGCCAGCACGUUGGCGGGCGGCGACUUGACCCCUGCUCGGGCUGGCUCGGCGUCUGCAUCCAGUUUAACUACGCCGACGCGUCAGAGCGCAGCUGCCAGCCCUUCUCAUUCCAGUGACAGAGCCCUGCCGCCAUCCGGGUCCUGGCGCACGCCUGUGCGCCAGCCAGCGAGCAACGGCACCGUAGCCGCAGCCACGCCCAGCAGUGGCACCGACAUCCGAAGUAGCGUCGACUCGGCGCACCGCCAUCGCAGCCGCUAUGAGCUCGUUCGCCAUCUGCAGCGGUGGGAAGCCGUGCUGCUGGCGGAGCGGCUGGCUAUCUUGAAGGCCGCGCAUAUGGUGCCCGGGCCCAACAGCGGGACAGGGGCUAACACAAAGCAGGCCGACGGCUUCAGCGCCAGGAACGCCUAUGAGGAGCUGCGUGCGUUGUUGCUGCAGCAGAGGGACCGCGUUGCCUCGUCCUCGUCGUGAUGUUUUCCCUACUGUUUCGCUCGCUGUCCUUGUUAUGCCAGUCUGAUCGUCUCUCUUCUCACCUUCGACGCCGGCAGGGCACACAUGCACGGGCGCUGCCCAAUCACGUCGGAACAUCAGUGAGCUCGUGGCCGUCCCAGGCACAGCGACGAUUGCGAACGGUGGUGAUGGCCUCGAUAAUGCUGCUCUUUUAUCGUCUCACGAGCUGGUGGGUGUAUGUGCAUGUGUGUGCAUGUGUGCACGUACCCGUACGAUUGUGCCGCAACGUCUCUCUUUCUGCCUUCUCUGUGCCUCUUGCCUGUUCUCUGUACCGUCUGUGUUGUGGCCGCUGUUCUUUGCCAUGUGAAGUGUGUGUGCUGGUCAUGCCGCCCAUGCAACAGGCCCCUCAGGCAACAACGUCCGCGAAGCUGUGUGCUCAUCAGGGGCCAAGCAGGCGCUCUCCCUUAUAUAUUAUUAUUAUCUUCUUCGCCAAGCGAAUGGGAAGAGCGAUGCAACGACCCCUCAGCACCACCGCCACCACCCGCCCGGAAUGAGAGGAAGGCAGCGACGCAAGGCGGAUGUGUGGCGGUGUGGGCACUUGCUUUCAACGGCAGCGGCCUGGCGGAAUGGAAACAAAUGCAUCCGCCUCUUUAUCCUCCCCUCCCCUCCCACUCACAUCCGCGCAGCUUGCAUCUGUAGGGCUGCAGAGGUGUGACUGGAGGGGAGGGAUGGUGAACUGCUAGCACGAGGAGAUAGGCACGCCGGACACGAAUGUGUCC
rnacentral:misc_RNA from 1 species